GCUUUUCUUCGUGUUGGCUUCAUAAGCUGUGGUUCAGUUUGUGUGCCAAUAUGACAUUCUGUUU
rnacentral:precursor_RNA from 1 species